ACUUGGAUAUGGAUUCUUCACGGUAACGUAACUGAAUGUGGAGACGUCGGCGCGAGCCCUGGGAGGAGUUAUCUUUUCUUCUUAACAGCUUAUCACCCCGGAAUUGGUUUAUCCGGAGAUGGGGUCUUAUGGCUGGAAGAGGCCAGCACCUUUGCUGGCUCCGGUGCGCUCGUGACGGCCCGUGAAAAUCCACAGGAAGGAAUAGUUUUCAUGCCAGGUCGUACU
rnacentral:rRNA from 1 species